rnacentral:rRNA from 1 species
AUUGAACGCUGGCGGCAGGCCUAACACAUGCAAGUCGAGCGGCAGCGGGAAAGUAGCUUGCUACUUUUGCCGGCGAGCGGCGGACGGGUGAGUAAUGCCUGGGAAAUUGCCCAGUCGAGGGGGAUAACAGUUGGAAACGACUGCUAAUACCGCAUACGCCCUACGGGGGAAAGCAGGGGACCUUCGGGCCUUGCGCGAUUGGAUGUGCCCAGGUGGGAUUAGCUAGUUGGUGAGGUAAUGGCUCACCAAGGCGACGAUCCCUAGCUGGUCUGAGAGGAUGAUCAGCCACACUGGAACUGAGACACGGUCCAGACUCCUACGGGAGGCAGCAGUGGGGAAUAUUGCACAGUGGGGGAAACCCUGAUGCAGCCAUGCCGCGUGUGUGAAGAAGGCCUUCGGGUUGUAAAGCACUUUCAGCGAGGAGGAAAGGUUGAUGCCUAAUACGUAUCAACUGUGACGUUACUCGCAGAAGAAGCACCGGCUAACUCCGUGCCAGCCGCCGCAGUAAGAC